UUACAGCCAUAUCACUUUGAAACACCAAUUCCCAUAUGAUCACCGAUGUUAAACAAUGUUGAGUCUGGUUAGUACCUAGAUGGGUGAUGACUUGGGAAUACCAGGUGCUGUAA